rnacentral:rRNA from 1 species
UACGAAGGGGGCUAGCGUUGCUCGGAAUCACUGGGCGUAAAGGGUGCGUAGGCGGGUCUUUAAGUCAGGGGUGAAAUCCUGGGAGCUCAACUCCAGAACUGCCUUUGAUACUGAGGAUCUUGAGUUCGGGGAGAGGUGAGUGGAACUGCGAGUGUAGAGGUGAAAUUCGUAGAUAUUCGCAAGAACACCAGUGGCGAAGGCGGCUCACUGGCCCGAUACUGAC